GACCGGUGGGAGGAUCGGUGGGGGUUAUAUCUUGCAGGAUCGGUUCUUUAUCUACACAGACGAGUUGGAAAUGGAGGACACUGCUCCUACUGCUGCUUCCCCCACAGCUGCUGUUCCUCCCGCAGCUGCUCCUCCCGCAGCCGCUGCUCCUCCUGCAGCCCCCGCUGCUGCUCAUCUUGCAGCUUCUGCUCAACCCGCAACUGCUGCUCCUACAGUUCGAGCACCCCGGCGUACCCCAGUACCAGGGCCGGCACCUCGCCGGGCUCCGUUUCGAGCACCCCUAGUUACCCCAGUACCCGGGCCGCUACCUCGCCGGGCUCCGGUUCGAGCACCCCGGCUUACCCCAGCGCCAGGGCCUGCACCACACCGGGCUGCUGCUCCUACUGCUGCUUCCCCACAGCUGCUGCACCUCCCGCAGCCGCUGCUCCUGCUGCUGUUCUUCCCGCAGCUGCUCCUCCUGCAACCGCUGCAGCCGCUGCUGCUGCUUAUCCCGCAGCUUCUCCUCAACCCGCAGCCGCUGCUCCUGCUGCUCCUCCCGCAGCUGCUGCUCCUCCUGCAGCCGCCGCUGCUGCUCAUCUUGCAGCUUCUGCUCAACCCGCAACUGCUGCUCCUACAGUUCGAGCACCCCGGCGUACCCCAGCACCAGGGCCGGCACCUCGCCGGGCUCCGUUUCGAGCACCCCUAGUUACCCCAGUACCAGGGCCGGCACCUCGCCGGGCUCCGUUUCGAGCACCCCUAGUUACCCCAGUACCCGGGCCGCUACCUCGCUGGGCUCCGGUUCGAGCACCCCGGCUUACCCCAGGGCCUGCACCACACCGGGCUACUGCUGCUGCUCCUACUGCUGCUUCCCCCACAGCUGCUGCACCUCCCGCAGCCGCUGCUCCUGCUGCUGUUCUUCCCGCAGCUGCUCCUCCUGCAACCGCUCCAGCCGCUGCUGCUGCUCAUCCCGCAGCUUCUGCUCAACCCGCAGCCGCUGCUCCUGCUGCUCCUCCCGCAGCUACUGCUCAUCCUGCAGCUUCUGCUCAACCCACAGCCGCAGCUACGGCUCAUCCCGCAGCUUCUGCUCAACCCGCAGCCGCAGCUCCUGCUGCUCCUCCCGCAGCUACUGCUCAUCCUGCAGCUUCUGCUCAACCCACAGCCGCAGCUACUGCUCAUCCCGCAGUUUCUGCUCAUCCCGCAGUUUCUGCUCAACCCGCAGUUUCUGCUCAACCCGCAGUUUCUGCUCAACCCGCAGCUUCUGCUCAACCCGCAGCCGCUGCUCCUGCUGCUGCUCUAGCUGUUCCGGCUACCCCUGCUGUCGCAGUCGCUGUCCCCACUCCUGCUGCGCCGAUUACGGUCAUUCCCACUGAUGUCUGGUCCCUUCCAGUUCCCAACCUCCCUGCUCCCAUAGUACCUGUGUCGCAUUCUCCUGCACCUCCUGCUCCCGCCCAGGCAUCUACGGAUCAAGCACCAAUGCCCGAUGCAGUCCCAGCAGGGAGAUCGCUGAUGGCAACGCUGACGGCGACACCACUGAAGCCGUCGCUGACCCAGCCGCCGCUGACCCUGCAGACCCAGCCGCCGCUGACCCUGCAGACCCAGCCGCCGCUGACCCUGCAGACCCAGCCGCCGCUGACCCUGCAGACCCAGCCGCCGCUGACCCUGCAGACCCAGCCGUCGCUGACCCAGGCGCCGCUGACCCUGCAGACCCAGCCGCCGCUGACCCAGGCGUCGCAGACCCAGCCAUCGCUGACCCUGCAGACCCAGCCGUCGCUGACCCUGCAGACCCAGCCGUCGCUGACCCUGCAGACCCAGCCGUCGCUGACCCUGCAGACCCAGCCGUCGCUGACCCUGCAGACCCAGCCGUCGCUGAUCCUGCAGUCCCAGGCGCCCCAGCUCCUGCAGUCCCAGACGCCCCAGUUGCUGCAGCCCCAUGUCGACCCAGACCCCGCAGCCACCGCUGCCGACCCAGACCCCGCAGCCACCGCUGCCGACCCAGACCCCGCAGCCACCGCUGCCGACCCAGACCCCGCAGCCACCGCUGCCGACCCAGGCCCCGCAGCCUCCGCUGCCGACCCAGGCCCCGCAGCCUCCGCUGCCGACCCAGACCCCGCAGCCACCGCUGCCGACCCAGACCCCGCAGCCUCCGUUGCCGAUCAAGACCCUCCAGCAUCUGUUCCCGAUGCAGGCCCAGCAGCCCCCCCUGAUGACGUCGCUGCUGAUAACUCUGCUGUCCGGAGUGCCCCUGUCCUCGCCCCUGGCGCCCAUGUCCCUGUCUCCUGUGUCCCAGGAUUCCCCAUACCGGUUGCUCCAGUCCCGGGUGCCGUAGUCCCUGUCCCCGGCGCCGCCAGCCCCAGUGAAUCAGGCCGUACAGGCACCGCAACUACACCAGCCACUGGUCCUGCAGUCCAUGCCAUCACUGGUCCUUCAGACCCAGCCACCUCUCGUGCGGCAACACCGGCCUCUUCCCCUGACGACGUCUUCCAGGCCCUGGUUCAGGAGGCGCGUCGUGGUCUCCUCGCCCCCAACAAGGCUCCCACUCGCCCGCCAGACCAUUUGCCCCAUUCGGGCCACCCACCUGGCAGGCCGCCAAAGACUCUGCCCCUGUUUGGCCGGCCACGCGGCCGGCCACCAGACACUCUGCCCCUGUUUGGCCGCCCACCCGGCCGGCCACCAGACACUCUGCCCCCGCUCUGCCGCCCACCAGACACUCUGCCCCUGUUCGGCCAUCCUUCUGGCCGGCCGCCUGACCCUGGGUUUUUGUCCAGUUUUCUGCCCGCCUGCCUUGUCCUUGACCCCCUCCACCCACCCUAUGUGGACUUUUUCGGUUUUUCUUUUUGGGCCGUCUGGAAGCCGGCCCCUAGAGGGGGGGGUAAUGUCAGGAUCCUGCUCUGUUUUCCUUUUAUGUUUCUUGAUUCCUGA
ensembl:lncRNA